UACAGAGGUCUCAAGCGUUGUUUGGAUUCAUUGGGCGUAAAGGGUGCGUAGGCGGCGCGGUAAGUCGGGUGUGAAAUCUCGGAGCUUAACUCCGAAACUGCAUUCGAUACUGCGGUGCUUGAGGACUGGAGAGGAGACUGGAAUUCAUGGUGUAGCAGUGAAAUGCGUAGAGAUCAUGAGGAAGACCAGUGGCGAAGGCGGGUCUCUGGACAGUUCCUGACACUGAGGCACGAAGGCCAGGGAGCAAACGGG
rnacentral:rRNA from 1 species